UUUGACGUUAGCGACAGAAGAAGCACCGGCUAACUCCGUGCCAGCAGCCGCGGUAAUACGGAGGGUGCGAGCGUUAAUCGGAAUUACUGGGCGUAAAGCGCAUGCAGGUGGUUUGUUAAGUCAGAUGUGAAAGCCCGGGGCUCAACCUCGGAAUUGCAUUUGAAACUGGCAGACUAGAGUACUGUAGAGGGGGGUAGAAUUUCAGGUGUAGCGGUGAAAUGCGUAGAGAUCUGAAGGAAUACCGGUGGCGAAGGCGGCCCCCUGGACAGAUACUGACACUCAGAUGCGAAAGCGUGGGGAGCAAACAGGAUUAGAUAC
rnacentral:rRNA from 1 species